GUUUUGGAGUGCAGGCGUGAAUAGUCCUUUCUGUCCUGCUUUGAGUACUGCUGUUGGGUGCCUUGGGGGGACCUUAAGGGAGCUCGGAAGUUGAGACGUGGUGAGUGCGAGAUCACUGCCCACAAAGGGGAGGAGCAGGCGGAUGAACAGCCAGAGCUGCAAUGGUGGAUCCUCCUCCAGGGCUGCAUGGGACGACAGAUAGAUGAGGCUCUAGGACGGGCACAAAUGCUACCCGAAUGCAAACCACUCCGGAGAUCUGUAAAAGGACUGGCCCCGGACAGGAAGCACACUUUAAACUAGAGGCGGGGUAAGACUCGUGGGCCAAUCAAGGCUUCCGAACAGAACUGCCAUUCUGGCAAUGAGGCGGGGUCUUCCGGUUGCCUGCUGGAAGUUUGUUUUUGCUCUGCAGGAUUGAAGGGUUCUCCCUAUGCUGCUUUGAGCGCUGCUAUUGGGUGCCUUGAGGGGACCUCAAGUAAGCUCCAUUUUUGAAACAUGAUCUUCAUCCACAUCUUGAAGUUUGAAGUUUGGCCAAGAAUAUACAAAAUAGAUUCUCUUUCUCAGGAUGGCAAGUGUUCAUGACAUCAAUACUACCCAAGGCUUCAGAGUCAUUGGAUUGCAGGUGUCUCUAUGGUUUCAAUUCAGCACUAUUCCAUCCAUCUUUUGGCAGAGUCAGAGCCCCGGUGAAGAUUCUGUGAGAGUUCAUUGUAUUGAAUUUAUGAUGAUGAAGAUUGAGUUGCAUUUUGCGGAAAAGAGAUGUUGAGAUACCUAAGGCAUUGAGAAAUCUGUCAUGCAGACAUGCACACAGGGAGAGGGAGUACCCAAAAUGAUGAGAAGUUACAGGAAUUGGACCAUCUAAGCCCUUAGAAAGUGAAGUCCACUGUGUCUCAAACAAAGGAUGGCAAGUGUUCAUGACAUCAAUACUACCCAAGGCUUCAGAGUCAUUGGAUUGCAG
rnacentral:lncRNA from 1 species